UGGGGAAUAUUGCGCAAUGGGGGAAACCCUGACGCAGCAACGCCGCGUGCGGGAUGAAGGCCUUCGGGUUGUAAACCGCUUUCAGCAGGAAAGAUAAUGACGGUACCUGCAGAAGAAGCCCCGGCUAACUACGUGCCAGCAGCCGCGGUAAUACGUAGGGGGCAAGCGUUAUCCGGAUUCAUUGGGCGUAAAGCGCGCGCAGGCGGGUUGGAAAGCGUAACCUCUAAUCUUGGGGCUCAACCUCAAGCCGGGUUGCGAACUUCCAGCCUCGAGUUCGGUAGGGGUAGGCGGAAUUCCCGGUGUAGCGGUGGAAUGCGCAGAUAUCGGGAAGAACACCGAUGGCGAAGGCAGCCUACUGGGCCGUAACUGACGCUGAGGCGCGAAAGCUAGGGGAGCAAACAGG
rnacentral:rRNA from 1 species